ACCCGACUCUUCGUUGUCCUCUCUGUCUUUUUCUCUCUCUGGUUCUUGGUGUUCUCCUGUUACGCUUUCGCGGCUCUCCUGGUACGUGUGCGUGCCCAGUGGCGCCGCCGGCCGGGCGAAAUCCUAGAACCCUAGAACGACAGCCGAGACUCUGACCCCCCCGUUGUUCAGUCGUGGGUGCAGUGCGUGCGAGUGUGCAGUGGUUUCGGGAGCUGUUUCAACACCGGCGUGGCCUGGAGCGUGCGAGGUUAAAUUGUUCGAACAACGACACAGUUUACGUUUGCCAGGGAUACAGUUUAGACUGUUGGCAAUUAAUUAACCACUUAACGAAACGUGAUAAAAGCUUGAUACCCUUGUGAAGCAACCGAUGGUUCUUAUCGGUCAUAAUUGUUUAUCAUUCGUGGUUCGUGGUUAGUGCAGUCGAGCAGGAGUUCGAUAGGGACGAGUGUGUUAGCCAUAGUGGAGGAAGCAGGGGUCCAUGAUGC